rnacentral:rRNA from 1 species
AGUGAACGCUGGCGAUAGGCCUAACACAUGCAAGUCGAACGGCAGCACAGUAAGAGCUUGCUCUUACGGGUGGCGAGUGGCGGACGGGUGAGGAAUACAUCGGAAUCUACUUUUUCGUGGGGGAUAACGUAGGGAAACUUACGCUAAUACCGCAUACGACCUACGGGUGAAAGCAGGGGAUCUUCGGACCUUGCGCGAUUGAAUGAGCCGAUGUCGGAUUAGCUAGUUGGCGGGGUAAAGGCCCACCAAGGCGACGAUCCGUAGCUGGUCUGAGAGGAUGAUCAGCCACACUGGAACUGAGACACGGUCCAGACUCCUACGGGAGGCAGCAGUGGGGAAUAUUGGACAAUGGGCGCAAGCCUGAUCCAGCCAUACCGCGUGGGUACAGAAGGCCUUCGGGUUGUAAAGCCCUUUUGUUGGGAAAGAAAAGCAGCAGGUUAAUACCCCGCUGUUCUGACGGUACCCAAAGAAUAAGCACCGGCUAACUUCGUG